rnacentral:rRNA from 1 species
AUGCCGCCGCCGUGCCCGACCCUCUGCCGCCUCCCCGCGACUAACCUCGGCCUCCCUUGGUGCCCCCGGUCCAUACCUCUCCCUCGCCUCGCUCUCGCCGCGCGCCGCGCCAGGGCCGUCGCUGCCAGGGCCUCGUCAUCCUCUUCCUCGCCGGACUCCUCCUUCGGCUCGCGGAUGGAGGACUCUGUCAAGAAGACGCUCGCCGACAACGCCGUCGUCAUCUACUCCAAGUCGUGGUGCUCGUACUCAAUGGAGGUCAAGGGUCUCUUCAAGCGGAUUGGCGUGGAUCCACAUGUCAUCGAGCUCGACCAGCUCGGUGCUCAGGGACCACAACUGCAAAAGGUGUUAGAGAGGUUAACUGGACAGUCCACCGUCCCUAAUGUUUUCAUUGGUGGAAAGCACAUUGGAGGCUGUACAGAUACAGUGAAACUUUAUCGCAAAGGGGAGCUAGCAACAAUGCUGACGGAACUGGACAUCAAAGUGAAUCAUCAUGACAAGAUUGAGCAUGACUAG